UACGGGGGGGGCAAGCGUUGUUCGGAAUUACUGGGCGUAAAGGGCGCGUAGGGGGUUCGCUAAGUUUAAUGGGAAAACUCUGGGCUUAACCCAGAGCCUGCAUUCAAUACUGGCGGGCUAGAGUUCUGGAGGGGAUAGCGGAAUUCCUGGUGUAGCGGUGAAAUGCGUAGAUAUCAGGAGGAACACCGGUGGCGAAGGCGGCUUUCUGGACAGAAACUGACGCUGAUGCGCGAAAGCUAGGGGAGCAAACAGG
rnacentral:rRNA from 1 species